rnacentral:sRNA from 1 species
AGCUCUGUGCUUUGUGUUCCUCUGUGAAUGUCCAUUCUACUUCUCUUUCUAAUAAUGCAUGCUUUUCUUUUUGUAAACAAAAUGUUGACUUCAUGGAUCAAUUAAAGAGAAUUGUAAAACCUAAAUUGGCUUCAGUUAACAGUUAAAAAAAACCCCUUCAAUUGGAAGAAAAAAAAUUUAAUUCAUAGAUUUCAAUCCACACAAAAUCAUGUCGUCUUCUCUGUUUACACCUAAUGACUAACCUUAAUCUCUAAACCAUUAAUGGGGUGAUUCUAAUUUCUGUCUUCUUUUCCUUUUUCUUCCUGCAUCCCAUGUUGUCUGUGGUGGUUUGUGUGGUUGGACUCUCCCCUGGUCAGUAUUUUUAUUUCCAGGAGGUGUUCCCUGUCUUGGCUGCAAAGCACUGUAUCAUGCAGGCCAAUGCUGAGUACCAUCAGUCUAUCCUGGCAAAACAGCAGAAGAAAUUUGGAGAAGAAAUUGCAAGGUUACAGCAUGCAGCAGAACUGAUUAAAACAGUGGCAUCUCGCUAUGAUGAAUAUGUUAAUGUGAAGGAUUUUUCUGACAAAAUCAAUCGUGCCCUUACUGCAGCAAAGAAGGAUAAUGACUUCAUUUAUCAUGAUCGAGUUCCAGACCUUAAAGAUCUAGAUCCUAUUGGCAAAGCCACACUUGUGAAAUCUACCCCAGUCAAUGUACCCAUCAGUCAGAAAUUUACUGAUCUGUUUGAGAAGAUGGUUCCUGUGUCAGUACAGCAG